AUCGGAUUUAGAUUGGGGAAAAUGUAAAGUUGUUGACUAGUCGAUCCGUACCGGUUUUUCAUAGUCCGAGAUUUUGUUGUAAGUUACGAGCUCGGGGAUCGUCAGAAAAGUCAUCCACGCUAUCGCCAACCUUCGGUACUUUUAAAAGUCUAUUUUCAAACUUAUGGCAUGUAUAGGCUAAUAUGUAUUUUGUUCGACCUUGAAUAUGUAUAACUUUAGCCAUGCGAAAAUGGCUUAAUUUUCAUGAUAGAUUCGUUCAUAAUUGGAUAUGGUUUGAGCUUACUUUUA